GGGCUGGAGUUCGGCGAGGCCUUGGGACUGGCGCUGGAGCCCAGCGUGGGAUGACCGUGCCCCGAAAACAUGCCAGUGAAUGGAAAGAAGCCAAGGUCCCCUCCCUCCCUGCUUAUACCCUCAACUUUGCCAAUGAGGACCCUAAAUACCAGCUGCACUACAGGGGAUGUAACUACAUACACCGUCACCAAAGUUGCAGCCUGGCCAAGAAAUGCCAGGGGACGUCGCGGCGAUUGCAGACUCCGCGGUGACUGUGUAGAUACGUCCAGAAUUCGCCCUUGUAGCGCGGGGAGAGGCGAGAGUGAAGGCCUAGAAAAAAAGAAGAAUAAAUGGGACAUUACACAAGUUCCUUUAAAGAUUCUUCACGUUGAUAUAAGGAGCCUGCUUCCUCAUUGCCAUUUGGGUGCAGAGUUCUUCCUGUCAGCCCACUCAUCAUGCUCAUCAUACCUUGCUGCCAGGCCUCUCUAUGCUGAUGACUCGAGGAAAACACGCUCCUCUGGUUGCAAAGAAGGCAUUGUUUCUAAAGGCACCUGUCUCAGAGCUCUAGAUGGAUUAUGACCCACGGCGGUCAUUGGACUGUAAACCUGACACAGGUUUAACCUUCUGAUGGAGCUUGGUUUUUGUCCUAGAAAAACUAUAAAGAGAAAAACAGCGGCACAUAAAGAACAGUAUAUGGUGUAAAGAGAAGCGGGAGUCCUGGGUCGAUGUUAGAAGACAUGAAUGCAAAUCCCUGGCUGGCUAUUAACUUAGUUUGAUUUGGAUAAAUCUCUGUAUUUGAGCCUCAGUUUCUCUAUCAGAUGCCUGUAAAAUGAACUCAAAAACGCUUUCUUCAGAAAAUUGCUCAAGUAUCAAAUGAGAUAACAUAUAAGAAAGUAAUUGUGGGCUGGGCAUGGUGGCUCACACCUAUAAUCCCAAUACUUUGGGAGGCUGGAGUGGGAGGAUCGCUUGAGGCCAGGAGUUCAAGACCAGCCUGGGUAACAUGGCAAAACCUCAUCUCUACAAAAAAUAAAAAACCUAGCCCAGCAUGGUGGCAUGUGAUUGUGGUCCCAGCUACUUGGGAGGCUGAGAUGAGAGUAUCACUUGAGCCCAGGAGGUUGAAGCUACUGUGAACCACAUGCCACUUCACUUCACUCCUGCCUUCCAGCCUGGGAGACAGAUUGAUACCC
rnacentral:lncRNA from 1 species